rnacentral:miRNA from 1 species
AAAGGCCAGCUCAGGCAUCACUUUCAACCCAAGACCAGGCUGAAAAUGUUGCCUGAGGCAGUCUCUGCCU